UGCAGUCGAGCGGUAGAGAGGUGCUUGCACCUCUUGAGAGCGGCGGACGGGUGAGUAAAGCCUAGGAAUCUGCCUGGUAGUGGGGGAUAACGCUCGGAAACGGACGCUAAUACCGCAUACGUCCUACGGGAGAAAGCAGGGGACCUUCGGGCCUUGCGCUAUCAGAUGAGCCUAGGUCGGAUUAGCUAGUUGGUGAGGUAAUGGCUCACCAAGGCGACGAUCCGUAACUGGUCUGAGAGGAUGAUCAGUCACACUGGAACUGAGACACGGUCCAGACUCCUACGGGAGGCAGCAGUGGGGAAUAUUGGACAAUGGGCGAAAGCCUGAUCCAGCCAUGCCGCGUGUGUGAAGAAGGUCUUCGGAUUGUAAAGCACUUUAAGUUGGGAGGAAGGGCAUUAACCUAAUACGUUAGUGUUUUGACGUUACCGACAGAAUAAGCACCGGCUAACUCUGUGCCAGCAGCCGCGGUAAUACAGAGGGUGCAAGCGUUAAUCGGAAUUACUGGGCGUAAAGCGCGCGUAGGUGGUUCGUUAAGUUGGAUGUGAAAUCCCCGGGCUCAACCUGGGAACUGCAUUCAAAACUGUCGAGCUAGAGUAUGGUAGAGGGUGGUGGAAUUUCCUGUGUAGCGGUGAAAU
rnacentral:rRNA from 1 species